UGUCAAGUAUCAACGUGCAGUGAAGUCAACAAAUAGGUAAAUUCAAGUGGCUGAGGAUGGCAGCGAAAGUGACAACUUUGAUUUUCAUUGCUAUUACACUGUUACUUCUGAUAUCUGAGGGUGAUGGCUUCACUGGAACAGUUCCAGGGAAAAGGAACACCGCACCUGGUGCUUCGCAGAACUACAAACGGAGUUUGUGCACCGCCGCCCGCAGUCUUGGUUGCAAACUGGAGGACGAGACAAUGAUGAGGAGAGGUUAUUUAAUGGAAUAGUCUGAAUCUUCGAUAUCGUAAAAUCGCAAGGAAAAAGAUUAAAGAGUAAUGAUGGAAAUAAAACGAUUACAAGGUUAA